AUUGCUUCCCUGCAUUUUGGCUAAGAUCAAGUGUAGUAUCUGUUCUUAUCAGUUUAAAACAACCAGCUCAGAGUAGGGGUUGGGAGGGGGGGCUCACCAAAC
rnacentral:snRNA from 1 species